GCCAGUCCCAGGGCUGAAAGUUUCGUUUGGUGGCAAGAGAUGGCCAGUUGUGGCUCUGUGUCCCUCAUUACUUGGUGAUUUCGUCUAGGUCACCUUCAUCAUGCCCUUUCGUGUGUAAAGAGAACAUCUUGUGUCUGUGUGGAUGUGGCACCUGUCAAUAAUAAAUCUGAUGGCCUAUGGCUUAAGCAAUAAAUAGGAGGUGGGACAUCCAGGAGGCAGAAAAGAUCCUGGGAUACUGCCAGGCGGGAGAUUCGCCGGGGAAGAUGUGACAAGAAAGAUGCAUAGUCCCUCGAGCACAGAUUUCCACUUCUACACAUCCCUUCUUUCUGCUUGUUCCUGAGACUACGCCCAGUGACAAGUCCCCAGCGAGCCUGGGGAGCAGAGUGAGCACACAGCAAAGUCGCGGCGAGCAACCUGACCUGGGAACAAAGGGUGUGCAUGCCUGGGAGGAAGACCAGAAAUCGUGCAAACUCCUCAGUGGGAAGAUUGAAGUCAAAGCGAGGUCCACAGGUAAGUGGAGCCCAACUUCAAGUUUAAUGACUGUACCUUAACCAGAAGCCACUGCUUUCAGCACAGGACUGCCUGGCUGUCCUCUAACAGCUACCCAAA
rnacentral:lncRNA from 1 species